AUGGAGAAGAGGAGGGAGGAACACACCUUCACCACCCAGCGUCUGACAGAGAAAAGAUGGCAACCACACCUAAAUGCAGAGAGGGAAAGGCGAGAGGAAGUCAUUAAAGCAUGCCCUGCAGGAGCCUGCCUGGGCCUUGGCUGGAUGAGAUGGGACGGCAGCAGCACUUUGGGUGUGUAUGCACUGGGGGAAAAGAAAAAGGGGUCUCUAGGGAGCAGUAGAUCGGUUUAGUAACUGGCUCUACUCUGGUUCCCCCUGGGGUAGCCCCAGUCCCCAGCAGACAGGAUAGCAAUCAGACAUGCAGGGUGUGGAGCAGAAAAAUAUUGUAGUGCCAGUGGUGGUGGGAGUAUUUGUGUGUGUGUGUGUGCAUGUGGAUUUGGGAGAUUAAAGGUGACAGUCGUCGCUUUGCUUAGACCUGCUCACCUGCCACAAUCUGUCAGUAACCAAAGCUGCUCGGUGAAGCGUACUGCACCUGUCAUCCGUGAGUGUGUGUCACGGCGUCCGCAUGCUUUGCGUGUGCACGUCUGGCUCUUCCUGUCAUUUCACCUGCAUUUGUAUUGAUAGACGGACAUAUAUUCUUAAAAGAGGUACUUGUGUUGUUCCUGUGCAGCUUUUCGGAAGCACACUCCUCAAUCGGGUGUGCUGAUUUUAAGCAUUACCACAGCAAAAGGAAUAAUUCCAGCAUUAUCAUUUCAAUUGAUGCUUUUUUUGUGUCACUUCAGAACGUACAGAUUAACAUGCUUUUGAAAAAUAUGGUGUGAUGUACAUGUGUGUGUUUGUGCCUACAUUUGUAUUCGCAUUUAUGUGUGUGAGAGAGAGAGACAGAGAGAGACAGAGAGAGAGAGAGAGAGAGAGAGAGAGAGAACACAACUGGUGAUAUUGUUUGCGGCAUUCUUUCCUUCCAACUUCAAAAACUGCAGAUUUACAUAAUUCAAAAUAUAUAAAUAUAUCUAUCUUCUGUGUUAGAGCGAGAGAUUCACAGAAGAAAGGGACAGGGAAACAGACAGACAGCAUUUCUCUGCCUGAAGCACCUUAACUGAUCAUAUAUGUCUCCUAUCAAAAGCUAUGAGCUGUUUAAUAGUUUGAAUAUAACCUCUUCAUUUGUCACAGGCAAUAAUCACAUUGUAACUCAGCUUUAAUGGCGAUGUGCAAAACCAUAAUGUGAAAUCAUACUGAUUACUGUGUGUGCAUGUGUGCGUGCAUGCAUGCGUGGGUGGGUGGAUUUCUGUGAGACAAGGAUCUCUGCACAUCCCUUAUUAAAGUUGGAAAUUAUGACAACUCAGUUUUUGACACAUAUUAAAGACUGUAUCUCAUCUUUAAAGGCCCUUCGUGUUUCUGGCUGUUUUUUUCUGGAACAAAGCUACUGUUUCUGACAAUCUUGAUCUAAGAGAGGAUCCUGGGAGGUUCAAAAUUGCAGUCAUGAAGACAAAACGGAAAAAAAAAGAAAAUGUUCAGAUGAAAGCUAUGCAAUACAUUCUAAUGAGCUAACAGGAGAUGAGCGUUGCAUUUAUAUGCCCACUGCAUUCACAUCCGUACCUCAUAACUGCAUUCGUUGUAAAUAAAUAUGAGCAAUCAGCUAAGAACGGCAAUAAAGGGCCCAUAAAGGGCUGCACACAGUGAGAUGGGAGGAAAUUGCAUUUCUACACAGACAGACAGAUGGACAGACGACAGACAGACAUACAGAGAAGAAAGCAGAUAAAAAUACAAAAGAGAAGAGCUACAAUCAUUUUCUUUGACCUCCAUAUCUAAAGACCAGGUGGAAGGUC
rnacentral:lncRNA from 15 species